UGUUUAAACUGGUUUGGGAAAACCAAAUAUAUUAUAUAUUUUGCUUUGUUCAAAAUAAGGUUUUCUAAUAAAUUAUGUUUUUAUCAGAUAUGACAGAAUCUUUUUUAAAAUCUCUUCAAUAUGCUUUUAUUGCUUUUGAGAGGUUUUGUUACUUUGAGUAAAAUUAAGUGUUCAUAACAGACGGGUAGUCAUGAUUGAGUUCAUUGUGUA
rnacentral:rRNA from 1 species